UCCUCAACAACAAGCUGGUCACCUUGCC
rnacentral:piRNA from 1 species